CAAUAAGCGGAGGAAAAGAAACCAACCGGGAUUGCCUCAGUAACGGCGAGUGAAGCGGCAAGAGCUCAAAUUUGAAAGCUGGCCCCUCCGGGGUCCGCGUUGUAAUUUGCAGAGGAUGCUUCGGGCUCAGCCCCCGUCUAAGUGCCCUGGAACGGGCCGUCGGAGAGGGUGAGAAUCCCGUCUGGGACGGGGUGCCUGGGUCCAUGUGAAGCUCCUUCGACGAGUCGAGUUGUUUGGGAAUGCAGCUCUAAAUGGGUGGUAAAUUUCAUCUAAAGCUAAAUACUGGCCGGAGACCGAUAGCGCACAAGUAGAGUGAUCGAAAGAUGAAAAGCACUUUGAAAAGAGAGUUAAACAGCACGUGAAAUUGUUGAAAGGGAAGCGCUUGCGAUCAGACUCGCCUGCGGGGUUCAGCCGGCAUUCGUGCCGGUGUACUUCCCCGUGGGCGGGCCAGCGUCGGUUCGGGUGGCCGGUCAAAGGCCCCGGGAAUGUGUCGCCCUCCGGGGCGUCUUAUAGCCCGGGGUGCCAUGCGGCCUACCUGGACCGAGG
rnacentral:rRNA from 1 species